ACGCCUGUUCGAGUGUCGUGAAUUUCUCAAGCUUGGAUGGCUUUUUUGUCCGUCCUUAGCCUUGGUUGUUGGGCUUUGCCGUGCCCUUCAUUGGGACGGCUGGCCUUAAAAGCAUUAGCUGAUCCUCGUGUGGCACUGGUUCUACUCAGCGUGAUAAUUGUCUGAUCGCUGAGGACAUCUUUUGGGAUGGCCAGUCCUCAUUUGGGUUGCUUCUAAACCUGGUCUUGCAGAUUCUUCAAUCUGUGUUCCACUUUUCAGCUUUGACCUCGAAUCAGGUGGGACUACCCGCUGAACUUAAGCAUAUCAAUAAGCGGAGG
rnacentral:rRNA from 1 species